GUCCUGGCCCUAAACGUUGGGUACUAGGUAGUAGACCAGACAUGGGUUUACUGCCGGAGCAAAAGUGCUAAGUACCCCGCCUGGGGAGUAUGGUCGCAAGGCUGAAACUCAAAGGAAUUGACGGGGGCUCACACAAGCGGUGGAGCAUGUGGCUUAAUUCGAGGCUACGCGAAGAACCUUAUCCUGGACUUGACAUGUUCGAAAGAGGCAGCAGGUAGAACCCGGAAACGGGAACGAACUGUAUCCAAUCCGGAAGCUGCCACAGGUGCUGCAUGGCUGUCGU
rnacentral:rRNA from 1 species